rnacentral:rRNA from 1 species
AUUGAACGCUGGCGGCAGGCCUAACACAUGCAAGUCGAACGAGGGGCGGACGGGUGAGUAAUGUCUGGGAAACUGCCCGAGGGGGGGGGAUAACUACGGGAAACGGUAGCUAAUACCGCAUCACCUGGGAUGGGCCGAGAGGGGAUUAGGUAGGAGGGGGGGAAACGGCUCACCUAGGCGACGAUCCCGAGCUGGUCAGAGUGGAUGACCAGCCACACUGGAACUGAGACACGGUCCAGACUCCUACGUGAGGCAGCAGUGGGGAAUAUUGCACAAUGGGCGCAAGCCUGAUGCAGCCAUGCCGCGUGUAUGAAGAAGGCCUUCGGGUUGUAAAGUACUUUCAGCGAGGAGGCGUUACUCGCAGAAGAAGCACCGGCUAACUCCGUGCCAGCAGCCGCGGUAAUAC